rnacentral:rRNA from 1 species
UACAGAGGGGGCCAGCGUUAUUCGGAAUUAUUGGGCGUAAAGGGCGCGUAGGCGCCAUGCGUGUCUUCCGUGAAAUCCCUCGGCUUAACUGAGGACGUGCGGAAGAAACUGCAAGGCUUGAGUCCGGGAGAGGGGGGUGGAAUUCCCAGUGUAGCGGUGAAAUGCGCAGAUAUCAGGAGGAACACCAAUGGCGAAGGCAGCUCGCUGGGACGACACUGACGCUGAGACGCGAAAGCGUGGGGAGCAAACAGG